rnacentral:rRNA from 1 species
UACAGAGGGGGCAAGCGUUGUUCGGAAUUACUGGGCGUAAAGGGCGCGUAGGCGGAUAUUUAAGUUAGAGGUGAAAGCCCAGGGCUCAACCCUGGAAUAGCCUUUAAUACUGGAUAUCUUGAGUUCGGGAGAGGAGAGUGGAACUCCGAGUGUAGAGGUGAAAUUCGUAGAUAUUCGGAAGAACACCAGUGGCGAAGGCGGCUCACUGGCACGAUACUGACGCUGAGGCGCGAAAGCGUGGGGAGCAAACAGG